rnacentral:rRNA from 1 species
UAUGGCUCAGAUUGAACGCUGGCGGCGUGCUUAACACAUGCAAGUCGCGCGUGAAAGGACUUCGGUCCGAGUAAAGCGGCGCACGGGUGAGUAACGCGUGGAUGAUCUACCCAUGAGUUAGGAAUAACGGCUGGAAACGGUCGCUAAUACCAAAUACGCUCCGAUUUCAACUUCGGGGGAAAGGUGGCCUCUGCUUGCAAGCUACUGCUCAUGGAUGAGUCCGCGUCCCAUUAGCUAGUUGGUGGGGUAACGGCCCACCAAGGCGACGAUGGGUAGCCGGUCUGAGAGGAUGACCGGCCACACUGGGACUGGAACACGGCCCAGACUCCUACGGGAGGCAGCAGUGGGGAAUAUUGCGCAAUGGGCGAAAGCCUGACGCAGCGACGCCGCGUGAGGGAUGAAGGUCCUCGGAUCGUAAACCUCUGUCAGGAGGGAAGAACCGCCACGGUGCUAAUCAGCCGUGGUCUGACGGUACCUCCAAAGGAAGCACCGGCUAACUCCGUGCCAGCCGCAGC